AUUGAACGCUGGCGGCAUGCUUUACACAUGCAAGUCGAACGGCAGCGCGGGCUUCGGCCUGGCGGCGAGUGGCGAACGGGUGAGUAAUGCAUCGGAACGUGCCCAGUAGUGGGGGAUAGCCCGGCGAAAGCCGGAUUAAUACCGCAUACGACCUGAGGGUGAAAGCGGGGGACCGAAAGGCCUCGCGCUAUUGGAGCGGCCGAUGUCGGAUUAGCUAGUUGGUGGGGUAAAGGCUUACCAAGGCGACGAUCCGUAGCUGGUCUGAGGGGACGACCAGCCACACUGGGACUGAGACACGGCCCAGACUCCUACGGGAGGCAGCAGUGGGGAAUUUUGGACAAAGGGGGCAACCCUGAUCCAGCCAUGCCGCGUGAGGGAAGAAGGCCUUCGGGUUGUAAACCGCUUUUGUUCGGGAAGAAAUCCUCUGGGCUAAUACCCCGGGGGGAUGACGGUACCGGAAGAAUAAGCACCGGCUAACUACGUG
rnacentral:rRNA from 1 species